rnacentral:sRNA from 1 species
AAGACGGUCCAGUUAGCGUGUUUUUCACUCAAAUCUCAGGUCAUUAACCUUGAAAUUUUGAGGGAUGACCUCAUUUAAUCUCCAGUAGCAUUUUGACCUGUAAUGGGAGGAAUUAUGCGUCUGGAUCGUCUUAC